rnacentral:rRNA from 1 species
CGCAAGCCUGACGGAGCAAUACCGCGUGAGGGAGGAAGGCCUUUGGGUUGUAAACCUCUUUUCUUAAGGAAGAAGAUCUGACGGUACUUAAGGAAUCAGCAUCGGCUAACUCCGUGCCAGCAGCCGCGGUAAUACGGAGGAUGCAAGCGUUAUCCGGAAUUAUUGGGCGUAAAGCGUCCGCAGGCGGCAUUAUAAGCCUGCUGUCAAAGACCGCAGCUCAACUGCGGAAAGGCAGUGGAAACUGUAAAGCUAGAGUACGGUAGGGGUAGAGGGAAUUCCCAGUGUAGCGGUGAAAUGCGUAGAUAUUGGGAAGAACACCAGUGGCGAAAGCGCUCUACUGGGCCGUAACUGACGCUCAGGGACGAAAGCUAGGGGAGCG